GACGAACGCUGGCGGCGUGCUUAACACAUGCAAGUCGAACGGAAAGGCCCUGCUUUUGUGGGGUGCUCGAGUGGCGAACGGGUGAGUAACACGUGAGUAACCUGCCCUUGACUUUGGGAUAACUUCAGGAAACUGGGGCUAAUACCGGAUAGGAGCUCCUGCUGCAUGGUGGGGGUUGGAAAGUUUCGGCGGUUGGGGAUGGACUCGCGGCUUAUCAGCUUGUUGGUGGGGUAGUGGCUUACCAAGGCUUUGACGGGAAGCCGGCCUGAGAGGGUGACCGGCCACAUUGGGACUGAGAUACGGCCCAGACUCCUACGGGAGGCAGCAGUGGAGAAUAUUGCACAAUGGGCGGAAGCCUGAUGCAGCAACGCCGCGUGCGGGAUGACGGCCUUCGGGUUGUAAACCGCUUUCGCCUGUGACGAAGCGUGAGUGACGGUAAUGGGUAAAGAGGCACCGGCUAACUACGUG
rnacentral:rRNA from 1 species